UCCAUUGAUGUCGAACGAGUCAAUUUUGGGAUUCUCAGUGGCAGCCUUGGGUUUCUUUUCCAUUAUCUGAAGUUCUUAAAAAUCUCUUCCAAAAAAAAGAAAUGGGAAUGAGCUUCAAUUAAGCUGUUAAUAGCACAAAAAGCUAUCGAUGGAGGAAUGCAAUAACAAGGAGAACUAAGCAGAGAAAAUUUACACUCGAUCCACACGAAAUGAGAAGAAACCGGAAUCGCCUAUUCGCAAACCUGUAUCAGCCAAGAGACCAAAGGAAGAAGGUUUC
rnacentral:lncRNA from 1 species